rnacentral:lncRNA from 1 species
GCACAGUUUAUGUAAUAUAUAAAUAAAAUAUAUUAGAAUUUGGCCUAACUUUUUAGUUUUAUUUAUUUUUUAUAUUUUUUAGCUAUUUUACGCCCUCAGUUAAGAACCACUGGGCGUUUCUAGGUGGUUGCCAGGGUGUUGCAAUGCAGUUGCUAGGUUUAGGGUUUGGGUUUCUUUCUCUCUGGCAUAAAAAACGUCCUCAGGUUUCUGUGAUGUUUUAGAGUCUAGAUGCUUUCUUCGACUGAAGUUUUGCAUUACAGUAACUGUGUGUGUAUUUUCGCCGUCGUUGUGCUUCACACACUCAUGACUGUCUGUGUUUAACAAGCACACACACUUACUUUCAAACUGAAAUGAAAUAAAUGCUAUAAUUAUGAGCACAGGAUGUAGCUGGAGGAAAUGUACAGGUUCCUGGUAAACUUUACAAGCUCCUAGACUAAUUAUAGUGUGUGUGUGUGUGUGUGUGUGUGUGUGUGUGUGUGUGUGUGUGUGUGUGUCGUCUCAGUCCAGGAGAAGGCCCUGUCAUUCAGCGAGUCUCGUCAGUCUGAAGCGCUCACAUACGUCCGGAUUCAGCUGUCAGCAGUCGUUUAAUCUUCACCACAUACCCCCUCCACACACACACACACACACACACACACACACACACACACACACACACUGAUGUCAUCCUGAAGGCAGCGGCAGAAUGAAUUGCCCUCAGCGUUGCGCGCACACACUUACCUGACGCGCGCGCCCGCUCUCCAGACGCGGACUCCUGCGCGGAGCAAGCGAGUCGUCUCCACGAGAGACUGGCAUGAGAUUCGGAGUGCAGAGACUGCAGAGAGCGUGAUCCGAUGUGUGUUUAUGAUGGACGUGACGCUGUUCUUGUCUCUCGUUUGUGUUUGCGCGGCUGCGGGUUCGAACACACUCAGCUCAUCUGGACCGCUGCUUCUGUCUGAUGCAUUGUGUCAGUAUGGAUGGACGAGAACCUUAAAGGGCCAGUGCAGACGUAAGCAAACACUCACACACAGCCCAUGUUUACAACACUAUGUAGCAAAGAAGAAUAAAGCAUGACAGUAUGCAACAGUUUUAAUCAAAUUGGUGUAAUCAGGCUGAGCUUUUGACAGGAAUAGAAAGCUAAGCGCUGCAUUCGUUGCACUGGGAUGCAAUAUUUCAUGCAGUUGCAUGGGGUUUUUGUCUUAAUUUUACUUUAGUUCAGUUUUUAGUUUUAUUUAUUUUCAAUUAGUAAUUUUUUCUCAUCGUUUA